AAGUUCCUUCGGGAAUGAGUACAGCGGCGGACGGGUGAGUAACACGUAAGAAUCUGCCCUAUAGUGAAGAAUACCUUCGAGAAAUUGAAGUUAAUGCUGCAUGAGUCCUUCGGGAGAAAGACGUCUUUUAUGUCGUCGCUAUAGGAUGAGCUUGCGGACUAUCAGCUUGUUGGUGAGGUAAAGGCUCACCAAGGCUAUGACGGUUAACCGGCCUGAGAGGGUGUACGGUCACACAGGCACUGAGAUACGGGCCUGACUCCUACGGGAGGCAGCAGUGGGGAAUAUUGCGCAAUGGGCGAAAGCCUGACGCAGCGACGCCGCGUGGAGGACGAAGGUCUUAGGA
rnacentral:rRNA from 1 species